CUCUCCUGAAAGAAAAAGAAAAAAUAUUUUGUUUAGAUUAUAUUAUAUUAGAGGGAAAAGAAUGUAACCAAGCCACAAAGUUUGCACUUAUCACAAAUUUAUUAUAAAUAGCAAUUAUACACUUCAUCGUAACUCAAUCCAGAGUGACAUAACCCAGAAUACUCUGUCAUCUAAAGUCAAAAUAAGAACAAACAAACAUUGGAGAAUAAUGGUCAACUAGUGAACCGAAGGACAUGCAGGUGGAAUGGAAAAAAAGGAGAAAAAGAAUGCAAUCAAAGGAUCAUCUUUCUGGAGGUCGAAAAACUAUUUUUAUUGGAGAGUCACUUUGCAGCUAGCAAACAGAUUAGGCAUUUACAAAAGUCGCUCCAGAGAUAACUACCAUCACCAAAAAGGGAUAGAUAUCUCCACAAGUCAUAGAACAGAUGAACAGAUGGCACUUUGCAUAGAUUCAUAGACUCAUUGCAGCCUGCAUUCAACAGACCUUUAUGACUGCGAAAGAAAAUUGAAAAAAAAGAAUGUCCUUAGGAGCUUCUUUUAGAUAUCUUGAGGUCUGAAGUCUUUGUUCAAUGGAUCAUCACCAUAAAAGGACUGGCCACAAGACUAUGAAGCUUGAAGUAUUCCAGUGUUAGUGCAAAGAACCAAAGACUGUGUUGCCACUCAACUCCAUUUUUAGAGAAUAAUUAAGGAAAAUUGUUGUAAACAGGUAUUUAUCCUCUGUUGUGCGAGCAUUCUCUCUCAAUAAAGUUUCCAGGUUUACAUUAAUUGUAGUUGUCUGUCUCUCUUUGU
rnacentral:lncRNA from 1 species